ensembl:ncRNA mir-1003 mir-1003 stem loop
GUGGGUAUCUGGAUGUGGUUGGCUCUGGCGGUCCUCUCACAUUUACAUAUUCACAG